rnacentral:SRP_RNA from 2 species
GCUGGGCGUGGUGGCGGGCGCCUAUAAUCCCAGCUACUUGGGAGGCUGAGGCAGGAGAAUCGCUUGAACCCAGGAAGUGGAGGUUGCAGUGAGCUGAGAUUGUGCCAUUGCACUCCAGCCUGAGCACCAAGAGCGAAACUCUGUCUCAAAAAAAAAAAAAAAAAGAUGCAUCCCAAAUACCUUUUUUUUCUUUUUGAGAUGAAGUCUCACUCUGUUGCCCAAGCUGGAGUGCAGUGGCGCGGUCUCAGCUCACUGCAACCUCCACCUCCUGGUUCAAGUGAUUCUCCUGCCUCAG